rnacentral:rRNA from 1 species
UACGUAGGGUGCAAGCGUUAAUCGGAAUUACUGGGCGUAAAGCGUGCGCAGGCGGUUGUGCAAGACAGAUGUGAAAUCCCCGGGCUCAACCUGGGAACUGCAUUUGUGACUGCACAGCUUGAGUGCGGCAGAGGGGGAUGGAAUUCCGCGUGUAGCAGUGAAAUGCGUAGAUAUCAGGAGGAAUACCGAUGGCGAAGGCAGGUCUCUGGGCUGACACUGACGCUCAUGCACGAAAGCGUGGGGAGCAAACAGG